rnacentral:rRNA from 1 species
GCUUAAGGGAAACGAUUGAAGUCAGUCGUACCAGCAGGAAAUCAACCUUUCGAGUAGGGAUCUUGGAGUUUUAAAGAGUUUCAAAGCCUUUGGAUUUCAAGAUUUCAAUUCUUUUGGUGUACUUUCUCGUAGGUAGGUCAACAUCGAUUUUGAACAUCAUAAAAAGACUGAAGGAAUGUAGCUUCGAUCUUGUAUUUAAGUGUUAUAGCCUUUGGUAAAUGUGAUGAUCAAGAUCGUGGAUUGCAACGAAUAUCCUUUUGGGCUAUUCGUCUGAUCUCUGAUACGUUGCCUUGGUAUCGAAAGCGUGCUUAUGAUAUUAAGGUAUUACGGUCAAAAGGUUAGAACGGAUUACAUUCGUUAAGGAUGUUGACGUAAUGACUUUAAACGACCCGUCUUGAAACACGGACCA